AAAAAGCUCCUUUAAAAAUUUAACAGAACUGGGCAUCUGCAAAAGAACUUCAAUAAACAGUAAGUUAAUAUGUAAUUUUUUAGAAGUUUAAGAAAUUUACCAAAUUGUUCGUUCGUGUGGUCUCUCGUCGUCACGUUAGGAUAUGGCACUCGAGGUUUAUAUUCUUUACCAACCAGUUUUUGCUCAUUCUGGCUUACCUCAAC
rnacentral:lncRNA from 1 species